CCUGAUAAUUUGCAACUUUUUGUAUGCCAUAUUAUACAUACGUAAUAACAUGUCAGACCAUGUUCAAUCAAAGGGCUUUAUAGUGAUCUUCUGAUCGCAAUAAUUUCAGCCUUAUCUGGUUUUCAAGGCCCAUGUCAUAAAGUGCUUCCUCUUAAAUCGGUGAGACAGAAAGGAAUAAUCACGCGAUUGUCAGCUCGUACGGGGAUGAUUGGUGCGUAAAGGGAUAGUAUUGUUCCGUAAUGCUAUAAAUUGUUAUAAAAACCGCAAUUACAUUAUCGUUCGUGGAGACUUAGAACAGCAUACUUGUUUAAUUUACAAAAUACACACCAUGGAUUUUAUUAUGCAAUCAUUCACUCCAAAAAUCAUUCUAAAAAUGCUUUUUUAAUUAAAACUGUACUUGUCAGUUGCCCUCAAAGAGGCACGUACUGAUCCUGUAAAAAGUAAGUUUUCGGAAAACCAAGGUCGUCCGUUCCACUUAAAAGAAAAGAGUAUAUAAACGAGCCGUUGUAUACUUACAUAACAGAAUUGCAUCAGUGUAUGAAUGAUAACUAUUCUAUUUCAAGAUAAGCCUCAACAUGGAGCGUGGAAGCCUUAUUGGGCUGUUACUUGAUGUAUCCGGUUCCAUGAAAGAAAAUGCAGUCGGAAGUGUGGAGGAGGAAGGCGAAUGGGUCCGAUCGUUGUUUCAAGUUAUUGACGACGUAAUAAAACAUGAUGUGAAUGAAAACAAUCGGGUGUUUACUAUUGGUUUCGGAGGUCAAUCAAAUGAUGGAACAUUCGAUAUUUUAAAAUCUGUUGACAAAGCACAGCAGCAAAAAGAAACACUUGAACAGGGGAGAGGAAACGUCGUUCGAAAGGUGGUAACAACAUUUACAGAGGCAACACCAUCAGAGAUACGAAACGCCAUUGAAUCAGGAAUUGCUCUUAUUAAGGAUAACUUUAAACUAACAACCGUCAAUACUAAAAAGGCAAUAGAGAGUGUUCAAACCGCCGCAAAAAUUAUUCGCGGUACAGUGCAAGGAGCUGAACUGACUGACAGACGAAGAAAGGAACUACUCAAUCUUGUAAAACCUUUUAUUUAUGGUGGAACACCGAUCGAGUCUGCUUUGACAUCUGCAAUGAAAAUAUUUCAGGAUGAAACACGACCAGAUGUGAAAAAGGUGAUGAUUGUCAUAUCAGAUGGAGAGUGGAGUGAUACAUCACACUUUCCCAAGACGUUUGAAGAAUUAGAUGUAACAAUCGUUUGCUGUUUCGUCAGUCGAUCUUCAAAUAUACGACCAAGACACCUGUUUGAUACUGCCGAGAUUAACUGGGAAUCAGGGGCAAAAAAAAUGUUUGAAUUGAGUUCAGACAUUUCUUCACAGCUGCUACCGAGAACUAUGAUACUACAGAACGGCUGGUCAUUUGAUAUUGAGAAAAACAAAACAAAACUGUUUGCUCACGUAAACAAUCCUGAACAUAUGCGCGAAAUAUGUCGACUGGGAAAGAAAAUUGCUUGCAAUCAAGAAUGUCUGUCAGAGUUACUUGUAACUGUGUCUUUGGAUAUGUAUAUCAACCAAAGCAACACAGGUGUAACUGCUCCGUAUCAAGUAGGCGGAACAUGUUAUGCCCAUGCUUCAGCAACAGCGAUCCAUUUAACUUUGAAGCGGAUUAUCGGAAGAGAUGGCGGGCACCCAUCAUUUGAAAGUAUUCGUGACGAAAUAAUUCGUGAAAAUGGAUAUGACGGCGCCAACACAUUCGGCGUUCUAAAGAACGUUUGUCCACGGUAUCGUCUUCAAUGUACUGAAAUAAAUGGCCAUCACGUUUUCAGAGCUAUUGUUGCAAAACGAAUUAUUGUCGCGAAAUUUCGCUUGACAGACAGAGAAUGGGAUGUUUUCAGAGCUUUCUACCUAAAAGAACCCAAAAGAAUCCUUUCAAAAAAGGAUCUGGACAUUCGCCAGCGGUCACAUGGAGAACAACCGAAAGGUCAUGCAGUCGUCGUGACGAGCUACACAAAUGACUUCCUUGUUCUUAUGAACUCGUGGGGCGUAAAUUGGGCCGAUAACGGAUUUUUCAGAGUUGAAAGUGCUGAUGUCCUUGGUCUUGAGUGUAUGGAUGUUUACUGGACUGAGUCGGAUCUUCUUCCUUCAGAAAGGAACUACUUCAAAUUACAUGGCUCCGAGGUUGCAAAAACACUGGUUUCAAAGCUUCGCGGAUUGCAGAUGCAGACAUACAAGUGCCCUGUUUGCAGCUUGACGUCACCAAUCAAUACGUUUAAAGGAACAUUAUCACGUGCAACAUGCCCGCAAUGCCACGAUGAGUUUAAGUGCAGCGAAGCCGGAAAUAUUCUUGCUAUGAAUAUAUACCUGACUUCAAUUGCAACGUCCCAUGAAAAAGAUAUUACUGAUUAGCGGCAUGGCGUGGUGAACAGCACGGGGCCUUAAGAUAUAAUCGUUCACAACCUUAAAAAGAUAUAUAAAUUUUAGUAUCUCGAAAACUCCACUUAUUAAGUAUACCUAAAUUUGUUUAUUCACCUUAAUGAUUGAGUGUACAUAACAACGUAUGCAGUCCGGCAGUUUGUGAUAAACUGAAGAAAAAGAUAUAAUUAAUGAGUUGAGUUUAUAUUGAUCUUGUUUUGUGGCUGGGUCAGCAGCAUAAGGCUGAUUAUGAGGUUGUGAGGAUUUGUCAGAUAUGGACCACGUCUUUUUAGCGGAGUACGCAGAAAUAAACAUAAUGCGCACGUUUCCAGUCCGUGUACAACAACAAACUUGCAUGAAGGUUGGAUUCUGCCACAAGGCCCGGGUGCAGUGGAUGGGACUCUCAUACCCAUAAUACUGAAUACGUUAUAUUACACACAUGCAGUUGAACACAGCAGGAACUCUUGAAGAAAAAAAUGUGUAUUUUUUUUAUUCGAACUUAAAUGUAAAAUAUAUAUUUAAUUUCAGCUCGACUAUACCUUGAAUGAUAAGCUGUGUAUAAAAUUAUGGUAAACAUGCAACAUCCUUAUAUCACUGUUUCUAUUACAUAUUUUCAUUAAAAGCACUUAUGUAUUCAGGGUCAUUAUGUCAUUGUGAGGUCACUGACCAAGUUGUUUAUCUCUGACCUGCAUUUAGCUUAAUAAUGCCCCUUUUGUACUUAAAAUGUUCCACUUAAAUUGUGUGUACAGCUACUCCAUAUCCCUAUAUUUUCCACAGAUAAUCCUUCACAUAUGUCGUCAGAUUUUUUAAAAAUCAUAUAAAUAAUAUUUCUUUGGGUCAUUGUUAUAACCACUACAAAUAUUUACUGUUGUUGUGAAUAAAGUUGUUAAAACUGUUUAAA